UACAGAGGUCCCAAGCGUUGUUCGGAUUCACUGGGCGUAAAGGGUGCGUAGGUGGUGAGGUAAGUCGGAUGUGAAAGCUCGGAGCUCAACUCCGAAAUGGCAUUGGAAACUACCUUGCUCGAGGGUUGGAGGGGGACUGGAAUGCUUGGUGUAGCAGUGAAAUGCGUAGAUAUCAAGCGGAACACCAGUGGCGAAGGCGAGUCCCUGGACAACUCCUGACACUGAGGCACGAAAGCUAGGGGAGCAAACGGG
rnacentral:rRNA from 1 species